rnacentral:rRNA from 1 species
AUGAUGCCUAUCAACUGUUUAAAAGAUGGUUACUGCUAUCGCUCUUGGGAUGGGACCUGCGGUGCAUUAGCUAGUUGGUAGGGGUAAACGGGCCUACCAAGGCGAUGAUGCAUAGCCGAGUUGAGAGACUGAUCGGCCACAUUGGGACUGAGACACGGCCCAAACUCCUGCGGGAGGCAGCAGUAGGGAAUCUUCCACAAUGGACGCAAGUCUGAUGGAGCAACGCCGCGUGAGUGAAGAAGGGUUUCGGCUCGUAAAGCUCUGUUGUUGGUGAAGAAGGACAGGGGGUAGUAACUGACCUUUGUUUGACGGUAAUCAAUUAGAAAGUCACGGCUAACUACGUGCCAGCAGCCGCGGUAAAU